rnacentral:lncRNA from 1 species
AGCUACUAGAUUUUUCCCACACACCCUUUUCUCAUUCUCUUUCCCGUAUUCCUCUUUCCUCUUUGUUCUUUCAUGUCACCACUUCUUCCUCUUCCAAAUUUUCUACUUUUUCCUUCAAAUCAUCAAUUUUCUUCCUCAAAUCGAACACCCAAAAUAAAUAUUAUGCAUCUAAGCAAGCUAUUUCAUAGUACAAGCUCUAUUUGGUAGAAUUUUGGGAUUUGAGUUUGUGCCUUGGGAAAGAAGAGGAAUACCCAUAUAGUGAAAGUUGUUCAUUGAGACUUCUUGGAGGUAUAUUUAUCAACUUACAACUCAAUUAGUGCAUAUUUAGACAUGAUUAGUUGUUAGAAAUUAAUUUUUUGAGAUUAGAGUAGAUUGUUUGGGGAAUUUGUGGUUAACUAUAGUUAGAGAAGUAGUAGAAUGAGUUUCUAAUUCAUGAGAGAAUAUUAUUGAUGUUCAGAUAUGACGCCAGACGCUUCACAUGCUUCUUCAGGAGUGGUUAGAGCGCAAACAUAGUUGAUUCGUCGUAACUAUGAGUUGAUAACGAUCAUUAUCGCAUAUUUUCCCUAUUAAUAUUAUUGAUAUUUUGAUAAUUUUCUAUGUUAAAGUUUUUAUAAAAAUGGGGAACACACCCUUUGAACUUUUUCUUCUCAAUGAUGCUCAUGUUUAAAGUCAUCGAUAUUAUUAUGGUCUCUGUUUGAAUUUAUCUAUGAUAUGUUGGGC